AGCUCCAAUAGUGUAUGCUAAUGUUGUUGCGGUUAAAAAGCUCGUAGUUGGAUUUCGGCAUGCGAUGUUCGGUUCGAUUUUCGUCGCAACUGAAUUGUUUGCAUGUGAAUUAAUGUUUUCAUAUCUGGUGCUCUUAACCGAGUGUCAAAUAUAGAACAUUGUUUUACUUUGAAAAAAUUAGAGUGCUCAAAGCAGGCCUUACAAGCUUGAAUAUUCGUGCAUGGAAUAAUGGAAUAGGACGUCGUUUCUAUUUUGUUGGUUUUAAGAAAUCGACGUAAUGAUAAAUAGGGACAGUCGGGGGCAUUAGUAUUCAGACGACAGAGGUGAAAUUCUUGGACCGUCUGAAGACUAACUACUGCGAAAGCAUUUGCCAAGAAUGUUUUCAUUAAUCAAGAACGAA
rnacentral:rRNA from 1 species